rnacentral:rRNA from 1 species
UACGGAGGAUCCAAGCGUCAUCCGGAAUUACUGGGCGUAAAGAGUUGCGUAGGUGGCAUUGUAUGUCGGUAGUGAAAGCGUGGGGCUCAACUCCAUAAACAUUAUCGAAACUGCAAAGCUAGAGGAUGAGAGAGGUUAUUGGAAUUUCUAGUGUAGGGGUAAAAUCCGUUGAUAUUAGAAAGAACACCGAUGGCGUAGGCAGAUAACUGGCUCAUUCCUGACACUAAGGCACGAAAGCGUGGGGAGCAAACAGG